rnacentral:misc_RNA from 1 species
GGACGACUCGGCUCCGCUGCUUUUGGCUGGGCUGCAGGUCUAAUCGGUUCAGCUGCUACAGGCUGCGGUGAAGGACGAAUAGGCUCGGUUGCUUUUGCUUGAGGCGCAGCCUGAGGCACAGGACGAUUCAGCUCAGUGAUUUUAUGCUGAGGUAUCGGCCGAAUUGGUUCAGUCAUUCUCGGCUGAGUUUCUAAGCGAGUUGACUCUGGCUGAGCCAUGCCAUCCUCGUCCACUACUACUCUUCCAUCCCUGCUGAUUUUAGGGCUUCUCCUCACAUUUCCUUGUGAGGAUUGCCCCUGUGGAAACUCUUGACCAGGAAUGACAAGUUGCCCGAGUUGACCGAGUUGGCCAAGUUGCCCGAGCUGACUCACCUGCAACUCGUGAUCGUACAUUGCCUUCUUUGACGGGUUCGAGAACACCAUCCAAGCCUCAGAAACGAGCCUAAAAGCAUGAUCUGCAAAAGAAAGCCUAUUCCUGGUAGGAUUCAACAACAAAGCAAGCUUACGGUACUGAGUCGCGACGAGUUCCAUAGACUGAGACAAUCUCGGGAGUUGAAGGAUCGCAUAAUAGUCAUGGCUACCACCGCCGUUGUAAUUAAUGAUUCUCAACUCUCCGGCGAGGAGCGUGUCAGCGAUGGCGAUAAUUUGAUCCGAAAACUCCAGGAGCCUGGGGUCGGACUCUCGUGCUCUGAUCGCAAAGCUCUUGGCGCCCUGGAAAUCACGUGCGGUGAGAAGCUUCUCCGCUAUGGUAAGCCACCGCUCCGCUUCUAUCCUGUAGCUGCCACCGUCCAUUUCCCUUUCUCUAACUUUCUCUCUCAACACUUUUUCUCC